UUUCCGGUGGUGUAGUGGUUAGCACUGUCGCCUCACAGCAAGAGGGCUCUGGGUUCAAACCCACCGGCCAG